AGCGAACGCUGGCGGCAGGCCUAACACAUGCAAGUCGAACGAACCUUUCGGGGUUAGUGGCGGACGGGUGAGUAACACGUGGGAACGUGCCUUUAGGUUCGGAAUAACUCAGGGAAACUUGUGCUAAUACCGAAUGUGCCCUUCGGGGGAAAGAUUUAUCGCCUUUAGAGCGGCCCGCGUCUGAUAGCUAGUUGGUUGAGGUAAUGGCUCACCAAGGCGACGAUCAGUAGCUGGUCUGAGAGGAUGAUCAGCCACAUUGGGACUGAGACACGGCCCAAACUCCUACGGGAGGCAGCAGUGGGGAAUCUUGCGCAAUGGGCGAAAGCCUGACGCAGCCAUGCCGCGUGAAUGAUGAAGGUCUUAGGAUUGUAAAAUUCUUUCACCGGGGACGAUAAUGACGGUACCCGGAGAAGAAGCCCCGGCUAACUUCGUG
rnacentral:rRNA from 1 species